rnacentral:rRNA from 1 species
AACAUGACUCUCGGCAACGGAUAUCUCGGCUCUUGCAUCGAUGAAGAACGUAGCAAAAUGCGAUACCUGGUGUGAAUUGCAGAAUCCCGUGAACCAUCGAGUUUUUGAACGCAAGUUGCGCCUAAGGCCUUUUGGCCAAAGGCACGUCUGCCUGGGCGUCACGC